GUGGGGAAUAUUGGACAAUGGGCGGAAGCCUGAUCCAGCCAUGCCGCGUGUGUGAAGAAGGCCUUUUGGUUGUAAAGCACUUUAAGCGAGGAGGAGGCUCCUUUAGUUAAUACCUAAAGUGAGUGGACGUUACUCGCAGAAUAAGCACCGGCUAACUCUGUGCCAGCAGCCGCGGUAAUACAGAGGGUGCGAGCGUUAAUCGGAUUUACUGGGCGUAAAGCGUGCGUAGGCGGCUUUUUAAGUCGGAUGUGAAAUCCCUGAGCUUAACUUAGGAAUUGCAUUCGAUACUGGAAAGCUAGAGUAUGGGAGAGGAUGGUAGAAUUCCAGGUGUAGCGGUGAAAUGCGUAGAGAUCUGGAGGAAUACCGAUGGCGAAGGCAGCCAUCUGGCCUAAUACUGACGCUGAGGUACGAAAGCAUGGGGAGCAAACAGGAUUAGAAACCCGAGUAGUCC
rnacentral:rRNA from 1 species